AAAAAAAAACCAUCGAGACACUACUCACUAAUAGCACGAAAAAACCCACCUCCAGAGCCACGGCAAGUGCGACGCCACCGUCACCGCCACCGAUUCUAACAUCUUCGUAUCCGCUGCUGAAAUCGUCAUCUCCCGCUGCUAAUUAACUUUAGUGGUUAAUGAAGCAGCCGAUGUACAAUGUCCUGUAGCAAAAGUGUCCACGAGAUCGAAACUUAUCUGUUUAAGCUGGAAUAAGUACGCCAAAAAUCAGAUUGCCAGCAGUGAGACUAUGAAGGCAUUGUAACUGUUUAGGAUGUGACUACUCGACAGAGCGUGAUGGAGUAUGAGGAGCAUGAAAAACGUGCAUGGAGUGUUGAUUUUUUCAUCAAAUUAACAACUUGUUGAGGAAAGAGUUUACAUCAUAUGCCAUCUGCUGAUACACAAUGCGCUCAUGCACUCUCUGAGUCAUGUAGCGUGGCUCAUAUGCCAGCUCAGGUUCAAGAAACUCAAACUCGGCAAUUAAGUGCGAAUGACGCGUGUAAAAGGAAUUCGCUAAAAAGAAAUGUUCGAAGAUUGUUAUGGACAAAUAUGAACUAUUGCGGUGGCUAGAGUUUGUUGUUGAAAUUCAGAUAAACCAGCACAUGUUUGGACAAUUGAUAUAUAUAUAUUUUAAAUCAAAGAAUCACUUCUGAGUUUUUGUCAUCUGAAUACGUAAACCUUGAAAUGAUCAUUUUCAAUUCCAAUAGUCUAAUGCAUCUAUUUAUUUAGUAUUGGCCAGUUACUUUUCAUUGUCUUCGAAUUUUUUAUAUUCAAUAUAAUUGAUGGCAACAAGAUUCAGGAAAAAAAAUGGAUUACAAUUGGCAGAAAACAUGAAUCCUAGAAAAGACACUAUUGUCAUGAAUCUUGGAUUUGAAUUUAUAAGUUGUAUAAACAAUCAUUAAGUAGUAAUAUAGAUAGAGUA